rnacentral:rRNA from 1 species
AGAACGAACGCUGGCGGCAGGCUUAACACAUGCAAGUCGAACGCCCCGCAAGGGGAGUGGCAGACGGGUGAGUAACGCGUGGGAACGUGCCCCAAGGUACGGAACAACUCCGGGAAACUGGAGCUAAUACCGUAUGUGCCCGAAAGGGGAAAGAUUUAUCGCCUUGGGAUCGGCCCGCGUCUGAUUAGCUAGUUGGUAGGGUAAUGGCCUACCAAGGCUACGAUCAGUAGCU